UGGCAAUGAAUGCUCCGAAGCCAACAG
rnacentral:piRNA from 1 species